GUUUUAAUAAUUUAAAAAAAAAUAUUAGUCUUGUAAACUAAAAUUAGAUAUAUUUCUUUAAAACU
rnacentral:tRNA from 1 species